AGAACGAACGCUGGCGGCAGGCCUAACACAUGCAAGUCGAACGCCUCGCAAGGGGAGUGGCAGACGGGUGAGUAACACGUGGGAACGUACCCUUCGGUUCGGAAUAACUCAGGGAAACUUGUGCUAAUACCGGAUACGAUCGCGAGAUGAAAGAUUUAUCGCCGAAGGAUCGGCCCGCGUCUGAUUAGCUAGUUGGUGAGGUAAUGGCUCACCAAGGCGACGAUCAGUAGCUGGUCUGAGAGGAUGACCAGCCACAUUGGGACUGAGACACGGCCCAAACUCCUACGGGAGGCAGCAGUGGGGAAUAUUGGACAAUGGGCGCAAGCCUGAUCCAGCCAUGCCGCGUGAGUGAUGAAGGCCUUAGGGUUGUAAAGCUCUUUUACUCGGGAAGAUAGUGACGGUACCGAGAGAAUAAGCCCGGCUAACUUCGCGCCAGCAGCCGC
rnacentral:rRNA from 1 species